UAUGGUAGGUCUUUGUUCCAGUUUUGGAAGACAGAAAAUGGUGGUGUGCUGCGUUUUCUGUUAAUAGUGAGGAGGUGUGGGUCAUAGAUGCACACCGUCCAAAUUCAUUGGAGCACCAUGCAAAGGCCAUUGAGGAAUUGGCGAUUGGGGUUGAUAUUCUUUUCUCAAGCUUUGAAGGGCAAUGGUUACCUGGGCAAAUAAGGAAAUGGGAGAGGAAGGCGGUGAAUAUGGACGACGCUUAUAGUGAAUGUGAUGAAAGUGGGAUCCACAUGCUAUUGGCAAUAAAGGGGUGUGCAGCGCGUUACAAAUUUGAGUAUUUAUCGCCUGCUAAUAUAAAGGAGGAAAGGAAGUGGCUGCUUACAGAAGAUUUGCUUUGUGAAGGCAACGAGCUAAAAGAUAAGGUGAAGAAGAUGAUUGGUAGUAAAGUAUGGGGGUAGUACUAAAGUUAGGCCUUUAAAAGACAUUUUGGGUUCUAUAGGACGCAAAGGGUUUGGGGGGGUCAGGACGCAAAGGGUGGUGUGAAUAUUUUGGGUAAUAUAUGAGAUAUCGUGUGUUUUUGUAAGCUAUGCCAUAUCGUACGUGGGCAUACUUGUUAAGUGGCCAUAUGUGUUUAUUUCUAAUUUUGGUGUAAAAUGUACAAAUGUUUAAAUGUUUGUUUAUUGUUCGUGGGCUUCUUGGGCAA